rnacentral:rRNA from 1 species
UGGGGAAUAUUGGACAAUGGGCGAAAGCCUGAUCCAGCCAUGCCGCGUGUGUGAAGAAGGUCUUCGGAUUGUAAAGCACUUUAAGUUGGGAGGAAGGGCAGUAAGCGAAUACCUUGCUGUUUUGACGUUACCGACAGAAUAAGCACCGGCUAACUCUGUGCCAGCAGCCGCGGUAAUACAGAGGGUGCAAGCGUUAAUCGGAAUUACUGGGCGUAAAGCGCGCGUAGGCGGCUAAUUGAGUCGGAUGUGAAAUCCCCGAGCUUAACUUGGGAAUUGCAUUCGAUACUGGUUAGCUAGAGUGUGGGAGAGGAUGGUAGAAUUCCAGGUGUAGCGGUGAAAUGCGUAGAGAUCUGGAGGUAUACCGAUGGCGAAGGCAGCCAUCUGGCCUAACACUGACGCUGAGGUACGAAAGCAUGGGGAGCAAACAGG